rnacentral:lncRNA from 1 species
CAACAACAGCAUAAGUAACAACAACACGAACCCAACAACACAAUGAACAACACAAGGAACAACACAAGGAAUUUAAUAUAUAUCAUUGCUAUUGAAAAUCAUGUAUUUUCCCAUACUCUAAACGUGGAUCUCAAAUGAUAAUGCUGUUGGGUUUGAGCCCCUGCGAGAAAGCAAGGGGCCGGAUCAGCUUAAAUUUGUCUCGAGUCCAAUUUUUUGCUUGUCAGAUUUAUAUUCAAAAGUCGAUUGUACGCAUGGGCCUUCUAAGACAUCUUUUAAGCUAAGAUUUUGCUAAGAUGGUUUGAUAAAUCAAAUUAGGAUAUUUGCCUAGGGACAUCUUAACUUUUUUUGACUUUAGACAUUUGCUAAGGUGAGAUUGAUAAAUCCCAGGCAGCUGAUUCUGAGGCAAGUAAGACAAUUGAGGAUAAAUGUAGCUUAAAUUCAAGUGGUAGGCUACAUCCUGAUGUUGUUGUACUGAAAACCAGGAAUUGGUGCUUGUGUACUACAAUUUUGAACAUUUGUACAUUAUACCAAGAUUGGUGAAUUCCAUACCCAAACUGUUUUUAGAGAACUGCCUCAUCUCAUAUGGCAUUUCCCCUCUUUGUUGAUGGAGUCACAUCCUUGAGGCUCAUAUUUGCACAUGCUCAAUCAGUGAAACGGUUCCAGGCUGGUGAGAGUCCAUAUUCCGAAACUGGAAGCGCAAGAGUUCUGUAAAGUGAUACAGUAGAAUAGCUUUUGAAGAGCUGGCAGCCUUGUUUGUGUGUGUGUGUGACAUGUUUGUUCCAUGUAGUGUGUUUGUGUUGGUUAGUAAUGUACUAGGUACCUGAAUCAUUUAACAGAGAGGUUAGUAUUGUUGAGAUGAUAGGCAGGGAGAUGUUUUCUGUGUUUGGAUAAUUGCUGAUCACUAUCACUAAUACUUUCUACUCUAUUAUCAUACUUUUACAAUUUCUUUCCUCGUAUUGGCCUAUUCUUAUUUAUUUUAUUUGAAGUUUAGUUAUAAUAAUAACUAUAGUUUAUUAUAUAAUUUUAAACGUACCAUUUUGUAUUCAAGCUCUGCUUUAUAUGGUGACGUCACUUGUAGCAGUUGGCAAGUGAAAUAUGAAAGAAGGUCAAGUCAUUUGUAUAACUUUGGAUUUAGUAGUUUUAGUAAACAUGUUGUUACUAAUGGUCCAACUCGUAAUGUUUGAUUAGCUCUGCUUUAUAUGGUCACGUCAAUUGUAGUAGUUGACAAGUGAAAUAAGAAAGAAGGUCGAGUCAUUUGUACUGAAUAACUUUGGAUUUAGUAGUUUUGAUAAACAUGUUGUUACUAAUGGUCCAGCUUGUAAUGGUUGAUCAGCUCAGCUUGGAGUAACAAUUCAUCAUUCUACUGUGUAUGUUCUGGAAAAUUAAAGUGUCAUCAGCAAAGAGAAGCUUGGCAAAAGAAAGGGUUGUAAUGGCUUAGAAUGGUCGUCACUUCCAGAUAAUGAUGUUGCUGCUGGCUUCUAUAAGUCUAUUGGUGGCGUUGAUAAAACUGUAACAGAAAAUUGGCAUGCCCACUAUUUACCUAAGGAUAAAUUCAUGGAACUUGCAAAUUCUUUAAAAUAAAAUACUAAA